rnacentral:rRNA from 1 species
GCAUGAAGCCGGAAUCGCUAGUAAUCGCGGAUCAGAAUGCCGCGGUGAAUACGUUCCCGGGUCUUGUACACACCGCCCGUCACACCAUGGGAGUCGGGAAUGCCCGAAGUCAGUGGCCCAACCGGAAGGGGGAGCUGCCGAAGGCAGGCCCGGUGACUGGGGUGAAGUCGUAACAAGGUAGC